rnacentral:tRNA from 1 species
UCCUCGAUAGUAUAGUGGUGAGUAUACAAGCCUGUCAUAUACGCAGAUCGCUUGGGACCCGGGUUCAAUUCCCGGUCGGGGAG